UACGUAGGGGGCUAGCGUUGUCCGGAAUCAUUGGGCGUAAAGAGCGCGUAGGCGGCUAGAUAAGUCCGGUGUGAAAGUCACAGGCUCAACCUGUGAAUGCCGCUGGAAACUGUCUGGCUAGAGUCCGGAAGGGGCGAGUGGAAUUCCUGGUGUAGCGGUGAAAUGCGCAGAUAUCAGGAGGAACACCGAUGGCGAAGGCAGUUCUCUGGGACGGUACUGACGCUGAGACGCGAAAGCGUGGGGAGCGAACAGG
rnacentral:rRNA from 1 species